GUCAUUUUUGUACUCCUCAAUACUAUAUUUAGAGAUGAAAAAAUAAAAAAUAUUGAGGAUAAAAUAAAACAAAAUGAGGAUAAAAUAAAACAAAAUGAGGAUAAAAUAAAACAAAAUGAGGAUAAAAUAAAACAAAAUGAGGAUAAAAUAGAAAAUAUUGAGGAUAAAAUAGAAAAUGUUGAGGAUAAAAUAGAAAAAAAUGAGGAUAAAAUAGAAAAUAUUGAGGAUAAAAUAGAAAAUAUUGAGGAUAAAAUAGAAAAAAUUGAGGAUACAAUAGAAAAAAUUGAGGAUACAAUAGAAAAAAUUGAGGAUAAAAUAGGAAAUAUUGAGAAUAAAAUAGAAAAACUUGAGGAUAAAAUAGGAAAUAUUGAGAAUAAAAUAGGAAAUAUUGAGGAUAAAAUGGGAGAUACGGAAGAUAAAAUAGGAAAAAUUGAGGAAAAAAUGCAAGCCCAAUUAGAAGAUCUAAAAUGUUUCUUACAGGAUCAAUGGGCAAACACCCACUCUACCAGAAACAGACCUGUUUCUGAACCUUUGAAUGAGGAAAUUUCCUUCCCUGAAAUAGAGAUGGAAAACACCUUCCCUAUAGCCCAGUUAACAGACUGCUUCUCUCGUGCAGUGCAAAUCUUGUCUGAAUUUAAUCCCCAAAACCCUUCCCCUGCAAUCCCAGCUUCUCAUGUUCCUUCUCCUACAGAAAACCAAAUUCCAAUGCAAGGGAGAUCUUGUCCUCCUAGAGAAACCUGUCCUUGUCAAACUGACCCACAGGUGCAAAAUUCAACUAGAGGCCUGUUUCCUCUAAGAGAAGUACCUGAAAUAGGACGAAAUGGGGAUGUGGUGACUUUAAGACAUAGGAUACCGUUUACUCCCCAAGAAAUAAAUGAAUUUACACGAAAUAUCCCCACAUAUGAACAAGAUCCUUUUCUAGUAACAAAAAAGAUGGGAGACAUAUUUUUUCAAUAUAAUCCGUCUUACAAGGACGUUGAGAGCUUACUACAGUCCUUUUUAAGUGAACGUGAAAAAAAUAAAAUAAUUGCUCAUGUCAACAAAAACCGGUGGUGUAAUGCAACACAUUGGCCAUCUCAGGAUCCCGAAAGGGACUAUAACAAUCCUGAGGAUUAUCUACAACUAUACCGUUGUAGAGAGGCCAUCCUCACGGCAAUGAAGGAAUGUGCAGGCAGUACAGAUAAGUGGAUGGAACUGGAAAAAAUUAAGCAAAAGGAAGAAGAAUCACCGUCCAGAUUUAUGGAUAGAAUUAUCGAGUUUGGAGACACAUACUUAGAUUGGGACUUAACUAAAGAGAGUAGUUUAAGACAAGUUAGAAGAAUCUCUGUAAAUAACUCUUGCAAAGCAAUUAAGAAUUAUUUUAGAACACAAUUCCCAAGAUGGUCAGAUAUGGACCUUGAAGAAUUGCGAAAAACAGCUAUAUAUGUUUUAAAGGGAAACAAGGAAAAGGAGGAAGAAAAUAAUGAUGACAUGGAGGAAAUGAAGAAAAAAAUGAGAUAUUUAAUAGAUAGGAUGACUAAAUUAGAAAGUGGGCAUGAUAAUGAACCAACGACAAUUCAAUUAUCAAUCCAUUACUUGCUACUUCUGUGAGAAGAAGGGCCACAAAAUGAUGGAAUGUAGAACCUUUCUUAAG
rnacentral:lncRNA from 1 species